UCUACCUUGGCCGAGAGGUCCGGGAAAUCUUGUGAAACUCCGUCGUGCUGGGGAUAGAGCAUUGUAAUUUUUGCUCUUCAACGAGGAAUUCCUAGUAAGCGCAAGUCAUCAGCUUGCGUUGAUUACGUCCCUGCCCUUUGUACACACCGCCCGUCGCUACUACCGAUUGAAUGGUUUGGUGAGGCUUCCGGAUUGGCCGGGCACGAGGGCAACCUUGAGCUGCGGGCGAAAAGCUAGUCAAACCUAAUCAUUUAGAGGAAGUAAAAGUCGUAACAAGGUUUCCGUAGGUGAACCUGCGGAAGGAUCAUUA
rnacentral:rRNA from 1 species